rnacentral:rRNA from 1 species
UACGGGGGGGGCAAGCGUUUGUUCGGAAUUACUGGGCGUAAAGGGCUCGUAGGCGGCCAACUAAGUCGGACGUGAAAUCCCUCGGCUUAACCGGGGGAACUGCGUCCGAUACUGGAUGGCUUGAGUUCGGGGAGAGGGAUGCGGAAUUCCAGGUGUAGCGGUGAAAUGCGUAGAUAUCUGGAGGAACACCGGUGGCGAAGGCGGCAUCCUGGACCGACACUGACGCUGAGGAGCGAAAGCCAGGGGAGCAAAGCGGGG